rnacentral:lncRNA from 10 species
ACAGAUGGGUUUUUGGUGUGGAUGUCCUUUCUGUUUGUUAGUUUUCCUUCUAACAGACAGGACCCUCAGCUGCAGGUCUGUUGGAAUACCCUGCCAUGUGAGAUGUCAGUGUGCCCCUGCUGGGGGGUGCCUCCCAGUUAGGCUGCUCGGGGGUCAGGGGUCAGGGACUCACUUGAGGAGGCAGUCUGCCCGUUCUCAGAUCUCCAGCUGCGUGCUGGGAGAACCACUGCUCUCUUCAAAGCUGUCAGACAGGGACAUUUAAGUCUGCAGAGGUUACUGCUGUCUUUUCGUUUGUCUGUGCCCUGCCCCCAGAGGUGGAGUCUACAGAGGCGGGCAGGCCUCCUUGAGCUGUGGUGGGCUCCACCCAGUUGGAGCUUCCCAGCUGCUUUGUUUACCUAAGCAAGCCUGGGCAAUGGCGGGCGCCCCUCCCCCAGCCUCGCUGCCGCCUUGCAGUUUGAUCUCAGACUGCUGUGCUAGCAAUCAGCGAGACUCCGUGGGCGUAGGACCCUCCGAGCCAGUGAGAUGAACCCGGUACCUCAGAUGGAAAUGCAGAAAUCACCCGUCUUCUGCGUCGCUCACGCUGGGAGCUGUAGACCGGAGCUGUUCCUGUUCGGCCAUCUUGGCUCCUCCCUCAGGUAUCCUUCAGAAAGCCUGGGCAAUAAACCGAAGGCUCCUAAAAAGAGCAAAGUGUCUGGUGAGUCAAGCAGAAUCUCAAAGCUGAACUAAAUUUGGUGAAUCUGGACUUUGCCAGCCCUGAAGAAGAAUAAGCAUGAAGGAACUCUUCAAGUAGCUAGUGCAUUUGUGUUGCUGUCAGCAAAAUAGCCAGUUGGAGAGCUAUGCUGUUCUCCACUAAAAGAAUUGUAGAACCAUUGGGCUUUAAUAGAUUUGAAAGACUGUAUAAUUGAAUUUAUAAUCAUCUGGCUUAGAAAAUAUGCAAAAUCACAUUCAUAGUGAGCAGAUGAGUUAUGGUAUCCGUGGACAAUUCUGAUAGGAAAUAUUGGUUAUAUCUGGUGAAACCCAUGAUAAACCAAAGGCACGUUAAGGGCAGAUGGUUGGAGUUGGGGUAUGAGUGUUGGUCAUACGGUGGAGGGGAAAAGAGUAGGAUGUUAGGAUCAUGCAGAAAUUAUGUGGUUGCCCUACAGAAAUGAUAAGCCAUAAAGUUCUACUCUGGCCAGUGUUUUAAGUCGAUGCUAGAAAAGAAAAACAAUAGUGGCACAGGGGUUGGUUAUUUGUUUUCCACAGGCCAAGAAUAUGUCAAAAUAAAGCCCAAUAGGAUGUAUAUUCAGUGGUCAAGUAGACUGAGAGAUGUUAACACACUUAUUCAUGGCAUCAUUUCAGAUUUUGCCUAUAGUAGGCAUUCAAAAGAUGUUUGUUAAAUUUUAUAAAUAAACAAAAGCUAUAUCAGCAUGGCCUUUUUCUAAUCCAAAACCUGGGCACACAGCCAGGAUAAACUUAAGCUGUCCAAAAGCCAUGUGCGCUCUCGCCAGAAUCAUCAAUUCUCUCCAGUCAUUUCACUAUGAAGAAGGCCUGGAUGAACUUAAUGGGAAAGUCCCAUUAGCUGCCACUCUUGGAUUGCAUAUCUACGUAUCCUUCAGAUUUCAUGUCCCUGAUAUAUUUGUGUUCUUGCUAGUCCUGAUUUUAAAUUAUUGCUUUUCCUUUUAAUAUUGUUCUGAUUUAUUUUUAUAUGUUACUCAAUAUUCUUUAAUGACAGCAAAUAAUGAUAAAAAUAAUAGCUGCCAUGGCCUAUUGAGGCUUCCUAUGACAGAAACUCUUCUAAGAUAAAAUUUCAUCCUCAUGACAACUCAUAACCUUUGAGAAAGUUUCCAUAGAUUUCUAUUUUACUACUAAAAAUACUGUGGUUUAGUGAGAUUAUGCAAUUAACUCAAAUUCACAAAGAUAGGAAAUGCUUCAGCUGGGAUGCAAACCUCUAUCUAAGAGAAAAACCCGAUUUCCUCAUUGCUAUAUAUACCAUUAAUUUGGAGCAAAGCAGAAUCACUUAAAAAUCCUUUUAAGUGAUGAUUAAAUAAAUCAUCAAUUGUUAAACAAUGAUUAGAUUCCUAAUUAUUUUCAGUCAUUUGUUUACCACUAAAUAUAACAAUAGUAGUAAUAAUAAUAAUGAUAACCCAUCUGCCUGUGUUCUUAAGUGUCUUAUAUAUUAGUUGUGGAAAUAAGACAUAUAUGAUGAACUGUUAAAAACUAUAGAAGAGAAUUUAUACCUAAAUAUGUUCAUGUAUUAAGUAGUACAAGAAAGUCAUCUGGAAAUUUUAAAAUGAAAGGAAAUCUGCAAAUAUUAAGUCAACUGGGCAUUUCUUUUCAGGAAAUGAAAAUUAAGCUGAAUCUGAAGGGUGCUAAGAACAAAAUUGAUGGAGGUGAAGACAGAGACUUCUACAUAAAGGAAAUAGUUAGAAAUUAAGCACAGAGACAAAAAUAAAAGACAGUGUUUUGUAGGGGCAGAGUGAUUGGGCAUAGCCAAGAAACAGGAUAUAUUAAGUAGAUUGAUAAUAAGGUUUAAAUGCUUCAAAAGUUCUAAGCUUAGAUGCUUGGAAACAAAAUUUGACCAAGAAUUUGGGUAAUAAAUUUGAAGAAUAAAAUGAGAAGCUUAAUUUGCAUGUGUUCAGUUUAAAAUGAUAUCCGGUUGGAAAUACCAAAUUGUAGAGCUGGAGACAUUGUACUGGGAAUUGAGUAAUGGUCAGGAUUUAUUACACUGGGACAGAAGAGACCAACACAUAGAAUACACUGAAGGUCAGGUUCUGUCCAGAAACCACUCAACACCAGAGCAUUAAUGAAUAUGUGAAUAAGUAAGUGCAUCUUCUUAGCUCAGGCAUGGAAACUGAUUUAAAAUGUAAGAAGUCUGUAUGGAUGGGAGAAAGAAGUGGAAAUCAAUUUAAGGGAAAAAAAGCAAAAUCAGAAUAUACAAUCUCUCUUCUGAGGCCCUAGUCAUAUGUUGCUAACUAUAGAGGAGUCAUUAGAUAAAAGUGUGUACAUUUGGAAGCAAACAAAGACUGCAUCCCAUGAGAUUUCAGAAGCUAUGAUUAUUAUAAAGAGCAAUAGACUCUCAAAAAUACUCUUAAAAUACUAUACAUAAAAAUAGCUAGUAUUUAAAGGCUCAUAAAAUUCUUGAACAGGUAUUAGCCAUUUAAGAAGUGAUGGUAGAAAGAGAAAUGUAUAGGUCAGA